rnacentral:miRNA from 1 species
GUGAGGGACUGGGAUUUGUGGUAUGUCCCAUCCCUCCAUCA